CUGCUGCCUUCCGUAGGAGUUUGGGCCGUGUCUCAGUCCCAAUGUGGCCGUUCACCCUCUCAGGCCGGCUACUGAUCGUCGCCUUGGUGGGCCGUUACCCCACCAACCAGCUAAUCAGACGCGGGUCCAUCUCAUACCACCGGAGUUUUUACCACUGUACCAUGCAGUACUGUGGUCUUAUGCGGUAUUAGCAGUCAUUUCUAACUGUUAUCCCCCUGUAUGAGGCAGGUUACCCACGNGUUACUCACCCGUCCGCCGCU
rnacentral:rRNA from 1 species